GGGGCUACUGUGAUUAGUACUACACUGCGUGAGCGGAACGAAAACAAAAACACCUAAAAUGUGGAAUAUAGCAUAUAGUCGACAAGAGAAAUCUACGAAAAACAAACAAAACUUUCAACAACGGAUCUCUUGGUUCUCGCAUCGAUGAAGAGCGCAGCGAAAUGCGAUACCUAGUGUGAAUUGCAGCCAUCGUGAAUCAUCGAGUUCUUGAACGCACAUUGCGCCCCUCGGCAUUCCGGGGGGCAUGCCUGUUUGAGCGUCGUUUCCAUCUUGCGCGUGCGCAGAGUUGGGGGAGCGGAGCGGACGACGUGUAAAGAGCGUCGGAGCUGCGACUCGCCUGAAAGGGAGCGAAGCUGGCCGAGCGAACUAGACUUUUUUUCAGGGACGCUUGGCGGCCGAGAGCGAGUGUUGCGAGACAACAAAAAGCUCGACCUCAAAUCAGGUAGGAAUACCCGCUGAACUUAAGCAUAUCAAUAAGCGGAGGAA
rnacentral:rRNA from 1 species